rnacentral:rRNA from 1 species
GACGAACCGUGCGAACGUUAUUCGGAAUCACUGGGCUUAAAGCGCGUGUAGGCGGGCCGGCACGUCCGAUGCUGAAAUCCCCCGGCUCAACCGGGGAACGGGCGCGGAUACGACCGGCCUGGAGGGACGUAGGGGGACCUGGAACUUCCGGUGGAGCGGUGAAAUGCGUUGAGAUCGGAAGGAACGCCCGUGGCGAAAGCGGCGUGCUGGAUCUCUUCUGACGCUGAGGCUCGAAAGCUAGGGGAGCAAACGGG